rnacentral:lncRNA from 1 species
UGAGUAUUGACCGCCGGAAAGCCAAAAACAUCACCAAAUGUGACUGCACGCUUAAAGACGUCAAAUGUGGUCGGAUCUUUAGAAAAAUCCGUGAAGAAAUCAUCAGAAGUUACGUUCGAAGCAGGUUUGCAGGGGAAACCAUUGAUAGAGAUGGGGGCAUUCAAAUCCGCAAUACAGACGUCUUGUAAAGGGUCAGGGUCACUUGCACGGGAAGGGAAAGGGAGCAUCAGUAGUACUAUCAGGCCGCAUAGCAGCCCAAAGAGUGACAUUGAGGAAGAAGAUAUCAUGGCUGUGGUUAAAAUCUGAAAUUACACAAUUUUUGGCUGCAGGUUGUCUUUAGUUGUGGGAUUUAAAGGAAAGAUUAUGGAUCUAUUUAUACCACUCCUUGGAAUCUCAAAUAGUGAUUAACGUUAAUCUGAAUUUAGUAAAAUAUUAAUGCCAAUUAGAAUGGGCAAUCGAUGAGGUUAGUCGUUGACUUUCUAAAUUUUGGAUAGCGUGUACAAAUUAUUUAAAGCGGUACGUGAUAUCACAAGCAAUUGCAACCGGGAAAAAAAUUGAACCAAAACGAAUGUCUCAUUGUUUUGGCUUUCUGACAGAGGGACAGCUAAUGUCGAUGGUUAAGUAAUUUAAUAUUCAUUACUUUGAAAAACCAAAAAAAAAAAAAAAAAGAUUAAAGCUAGAAUAAUGUACUUUGUCAGUAUAAUUAUGAACAGGAAUCGUUCAUUGUUGGUUAAAGAGUUUUGAUUUGCUUCAGUAAUGAGAUGUGAAGUAGUCGAUGAAUAUCAGGUAAUUUCAAGGUCAUCAAGAAUUGACGCUAAACCUUCUGGGCGCGUACACUCAAUGACCACGUCCGCCAAUUGUCAACAGCAGGGUAGUUUGAUAGCCAAUUCCAUUAAGUGUCAGCAGACUAUCUUAAUACUGAGUUAUCUUAAUUAACUAUGAAAUGGCCAUUGAUGUGGAGAUGGAGCUAUUCAUCCCCCCCAGACGGGUACCCUUUCCUUAAUUCCUUCUGAUUACGUGUAUAUCCUCAUACAACUUUAAAACACAUUCCAGAAUCAUAACAAUGUUAAUUUAAUGCUUGCGUACGUACUUAACAUAGUCAUUGACGGCAUAACCGGAUGCACCAAUUAUUAAUCAUUUCGUAAUUAAGAAAAGUAACAAACAAACGAUCUUACCGCGAAACAAGUGGCAUUAUUCAGACGUGCGAGCAAUAUUUUGCGGUACAAAAUAAUUUGCGAUCAACUCCAAUUUUCCACGAUCACCAUAACAUCAAUUUCUUGAAGCUAUUCCAAAAUGCAUACAUAUUCGGUAGCACAAACCUUGCUUGUUAAACAUUAAACAGUGGAUGUGUAAUGUAAUCCUAUUGACAAUUUAUUGGCCAAGCGUUCGAACUUUGAAAUGUCUUAAUGAUUCUGUUUGCAAGAAUAUAUGUUUGGUUUUUAAAUUCAGUGUCAAGGUUGCAUCCUCUGUAGUUAAUUUUUGAGUUAAUUAAUUUAGAUGAGAAGAAGAUGGAAUCCUUUUUAUUAAAGUAGAAAAACAAGAUGGAGUAAUCAUCAAAACUCAUCUACAGAACUAAUUACGAUAGACACUAAGGGACAUUUUGAAAUUUCUAGUGCUUGUAAUAUAAUUUGCUUCUAUUGAGCUGAUAAACUUGAGGUAUGCGGUGCAUGCUCAAUAGCCUGAUCGAGUGGUCUUAAAGUAAUUUUAUUUAAUUAACCACUCGUGUUCAAAUUUUAUGAGAGGUAUGAAUCUAAAAAAUAAAUUUGAGUUUUAGGCACACCCUUAUAAUUUCCUUUAUUAUUAUUAUUUGUUAUAAAAAUAGUUAGAUGUUGAGCAGAACUAUUGGUUUUGGAUUGAUACCCCUCCAAAACCCUUUGAUAACCUCUUCUAGUUAUUUACAGAUUUAACCUCCAUUGAAAUUACAUUGAAAGACAAAAAUAUAUAUCUAAUUAAACUUACAUUUAACACGCCACUAUUUUAAAUUUUUGGAAAAUUAUUUACACCCACAUAUCACAUGUGUUAUAUGCUAUUUAGCAACUUUUAUUUUUUCCUCUCUUGAUCAGUGUAUAUAUAUGUAUGUGUAUAUAAAUUUUUAAACCACCAUAAAAAAAAUCGAUAGCCCCAUUAUUCUUAUUCCAUAUCAAAUAUAUAAUAGAGGCUAUGGCGUAUAUGUGCAAUCAUCAACGUAAUUAUGCUAAGAAAGACCAAUGGCAUAUUAAACAAACAAUUUUUUGAAUGAUAUGCUUAUGCGCUGAAAAUGAUUAGAAACUAAAAUUCAUUAAUAGAAAAAUUUAAGUAAAACAUUUUGGCAACAUAAAUUUUUUUUUUCUAAUCUCAUUAAUGACCCAUCUAUUUCCUUUCUACUGUUUAGGGAUGGCAAUAGGGAGGGGAGGUGACCGACAUCCCUAUACUCAUACCCGAUAUUUUGUAUAUGUCUCCAUCCCUUCCCGGGCUCAGUCAAAAUUGCUUGAAUGAGGGGAUGAGGAUCCCCAAAUCAUAACAGGUGAUCUUGGAGAGUCUUCGAUCCUUAAAUAAUUGAUACGUUUUUAGUUUCCGAGUUCGAUUUAAUCAUAUAAAAAUACGUAACGUAAAUAAAAUUUGGCAAUAUAUCUUACAUUAAUAUUAAUCCAUUACAAAAGUCACACUCCAAAAUACAAAUCAUCAAAAUCAUUAUCUUCGUCAAUCUUUAUAAUCCUAUAACAAAAAAGAAAAAAGAAAGUUACUUCUAUAUCAAUAAUGAAGUAAAUGAAAAGGAUAUAGGUGUUUAAAUUAAUGAGAUGACGAUGCGACAUGUUACUAGGCUAUAAUGAGAUAAGGACUAGUUAGCUGCCGGCUGAGGCGUGAAAAAUUUGGAAAGGAUGAGUGAGACCGUGAGAGAGUGGCUCACAGUUUGAUUUUUGAAUUGUGGGCUUGUGGGAUUGUCAAAUUUGUGCUAUGUUUAAUUCUAAAUUAUAGCAAAAUAUUUAAAUUAUUAACUAAUAAUUAUAUUAUUUGUAUAAAUAUUUUUAUAUUUGUUAUUUACAAGAUCUGAUUCAAAAAUCACAAUGUCAUUUUUUUGUUCUUGAAUUGAAUGAGCUUCCACCUAAACUGUUCAAGAAAAGCCCAAAACCAAUCCCAGGAAACAAUGAAGCUUUAUCGAAUUUUUUAAUUUAAUCUAUUACCAAAUAGAUUCUUUUCUCCCAUUCUAGGUAUAUUCUAUGUGACCAAAUCACUUGCACUACAAUUAUUGCUCAGAUUGAAAUGAAUCGAAAUUGGCACGGAGUUGCUUAAUGAUGCUUAAGCAUGGACUUGUUUUGAGUGCCUAUUUAUUUUCGAUUGGUAUCUAUGUCUUGAUUACUAGCUAAAAUAUGGUUCGGGCCCUGAUAUGUCUUGCAUCCAUUAGUUUGUAAGGGAUUCAAUGCAGACUUUGAUGAGGAUCAAAUGGCUGUUCAUGUACCCUUAUCUUUGGAGGCUCAAGCAUCUGCUCAUUUACUUACAUUUUCUCGCGGAAUCAUGCACCCUUUUCCCUUUGGUCCUAGUUAUAACGAAGAAAAGUGCACCUAGUUGGGUCCAGCCUAUUCUUGAAAUAAAAAUAUUUAGUAUUUUACAAUUUAAAUUUUAUUAUUUAUUAAUUAAUAAUUCUAAAAAAAUUAAAAUUAAAAUUAAAAGGUAAAAUGGGGAAACGGGGAAAUGGGGAGCGGAUGAGAUUCUACCUUAUUCCCGUUCCUUCUUCAAAUAAGAAAUUAGGGAAAAAAACAUGUCCCUUCUUCAAAUAAAAAAUUGGGUAUAAGGUCGUCCUCCUACCCUUCUCAAAUGGGGAAAAUCCCCAGGGCUCUGUCCCCACGAGAAUUUUUGUCAUCCUUGCUACUGUCUUCUUUUAAAAUGUAAUCUCUUACAUUCUUUCAAAAGCUGCUUCCAAAUGAAAGCUGCUGCCGAAUAAGGAAAAAAAAUUUUAAAAAUUUAUCAAACACUAUUUGCUAUUCUUAUAGUGUUUUGACCACAGCAUGAGAUAAAAAAUUGACAAUAUAUGAUAAAUAUGACUUUUUAAUAAUUAUCCUGAGAAAAGUAAAAAACAUAUUAAAAAAUUUUCAUCAAAUACAUUGAGGUGAAAUCACAUUAACUUUCAAACCAUAAAUAUAAAUCUUUACCAAACAUCAAAAGCCACAGCUGCCCAACAAUGGUUCCAAACGAAGCCUAAGGCAGCUGGGCAAAUGGAAAUGGGAUAUAAGAGUAUCUGAAUCAAGUGGUUAAGCUCUGCAUGUGCGGCAUGUAUAAGAAGAUGCAGCCUAGCAGCGCUAAAUUAUGUCCAGUAUAACAAUCUGGAUAACGGAAUUCAUCCUUAUCCGACGGCCAUCUUACACCUUAGGAAAAAGUACUUAUUAUCAAUGGUAUAUUUUGUCGGUGAUAUAACUGUUUGUUGUAGUAGAUUGAACGAACUUGACUUCAAACGGCCUAAUCUUUGCACUGAAAGCGCAGUUUACAACCAGGUCUGGAUUCUUCAAUGAGGUUUCAGUACCUGUAAUUUCAAGGUCGUGGAAAUUGAAAUCUGAUUGCAGCUAGUAGCUUACUGAGAUUUUAUCAUUGGACUUAUCCAAUUCAUGACGAUCGAUUGAUUACCCAAUUAAUUAAUUGGAUCUUCAGGAACUUAUGAUCAGCGUAACACAUCUUAUUUGUCUUUCGGGAAGGUGCAGACUCAUUCCUGGAGCUAAAGGUUAUUGGCUGGCUAGCAGCCAUGAGCCAUUUCCGAUCGAUAACUGAAAGCUUCAAGUUUUCAUUCAUUCCAUGCCCUGGUGCACCCAGUUUUCAUUAACAGAGAACGAAUAAGAGACCCAAUGCUUGUAGGGCAUCACAAAAGCCUUCUAAUUUUACUCUCUUGAUGCCUAUUUCUUAAGUUACGUGGUAAGUUAAAGAGUAAAAAAAAAAAAAAAUUCUCAAAAGACUCUUCAAAUAGAAACAAAUUUAUAUUAUUUUAGUCAAAUUAUUCUCUAACUAUAUUAAACUAGCUUCCAUUUUUCAACCAUAUAGUUAUAGUACUGCUCUCACUUUAGUAAUGAUGAUAUAAAAAUUAAUAUAAUAUAUUUGAAGAGGAGAAGUCACUCUUUAAUACUGAAAAGAGAAAGGGGUAAUUUUAUUAGAGAGCUCUUUGAAACUCUUAUUACUAAUGUAACUCUUUAAAUAAGAUGUAAAUAUCUCAUUUAAAGCAUUAAUGAUGCUCUUAUAUUCUAAAACUAGUAGAAUAAUUGAUUUAUAAUUGAUGUAAAUAUAUCAUUUAAUGCCUUUUCUUUUCCUUUUAUUAUUUUUUCCAGCUAGCUCUAUUUUCUUUUUGUGGUGGGGGGGGGGGGGGGCGUAAACAACUAUGUUUUAAAUGCAGUUGGAAAAUUGCUUCAAUGGGUAGAAAUGUUUUUUUAACAUACAUAAACAACAUCAAGGGCAAAUUGAUAUUUAACAAAGAUUUAUUAACAGAUUUUAUUUGAAUUCACCAAAAAGUGAUUGAUUGAUAAAAGUUACAAAAAAAAGAUAGUUUAGUUUUAACAGUUAGUGGUUACAUGUAUGUAUUUUAUACAUCUUAUUGAAUAAGUGUGCCUGAUGGUGUCAAGAGUAACAUAUUGUAAUUAAUUUAAUUCGAUCAAAUUGUUCCUAAUAUUAACUCACACAUUCAUGAUCUAACAUAUAUUUUGAAUAAAAAGAAAUUUAGAAAAAAAAAACAGUAGAUCAUUUCUUUAUUCUAUAAUUAUUGGUUGUCUCAGCUUUAUUCUUUAUUUAAUAAUUAGUACACACAACAGAUCUCUUCCAUUCGUUGUGAGACAUAAAGGAUAUCGAUCGAACAUCGAGGAUGUUAAUCUAGCUUGAUUGAGCUCGGGCUGCUCUGAUGGCAUUGAUCACAUCAUCACCCACUCGGAAAGAUUUGGUCAACACUUCAUUGGGAACGGGAGGCGUUGCGUCAAAUAUAGUACCGAUUGAAUCCGAAACGCCAGGAUUUUGAGUAUUGAAAAUAGGUAUAAAGGUGGCCGGCUCGUUUCCAACAUUUAGUUGGAAGUGAACCAGUGCUCUAGGAAUUAAGAACACCAUCCCGGGAGUCAAGACCUUUGAGAAAAAGGUAUUAUUAGUUGUUACUAAACCUACGAGCAACGUUCCUCUGGUAACAAUACCAGCCUCAGUUCCACGAGGAUGCGUAUGAGGCGGGUUUAUUCCGCCGACAUCCAAGUCAAGUCGGAAGAGUGAAACUCCUUGAGUAUUGACCGCCGGAAAGCCAAAAACAUCACCAAAUGUGACUGCACGCUUAAAGACGUCAAAUGUGGUCGGAUCUUUAGAAAAAUCCGUGAAGAAAUCAUCAGAAGUUACGUUCGAAGCAGGUUUGCAGGGGAAACCAUUGAUAGAGAUGGGGGCAUUCAAAUCCGCAAUACAGACGUCUUGUAAAGGGUCAGGGUCACUUGCACGGGAAGGGAAAGGGAGCAUCAGUAGUACUAUCAGGCCGCAUAGCAGCCCAAAGAGUGACAUUGAGGAAGAAGAUAUGAUGGCUGUGGUUAAAAUCUGAAAUUACACAAUUGUUAGCUGCAGGCUCUUUAGUUGUGGGAUUUAAAGGAAAGAUUAUGGAUCUAUUUAUACCACUCCUUGGAAUCUCAAACAGUGAUUAACGUUAAUCUGAAUUUAGUAAAAUAUUAAUGCCAAUUAGAAUUGGCAAUCGAUGAGGUUAGUCGUUGACUUUCUAAAUUUUGGAUAGCGUGUACAACUUAUUUAAAGCGGUACGUGAUAUCACAAGCAAUUGCAACCGGGAAAAAAAUUGAACCAAAACGAAUGUCUCAUUGUUUUGGCUUUCUGACAGAGGGACAGCUAAUGUCGAUGGUUAAGUAAUUUAUUAUUCAUUACUUUGAAAAACCAAAAAAAAAAAAAAAGAUUAAAGCUAGAAUAAUGUACUUUGUCAGUAUAAUUAUGAACAGGAAUCGUUCAUUGUUGGUUAAAGAGUUUUGAUUUGCUUCCUAAUGAAUCAUAAGCAAGUUAAAGCUUAAUGUGCAAUUUUCAGUAAUGAGAUGUGAAGUAGUCGAUGAAUAUCAGGUAAUUUCAAGGUCAUCAAGAAUUGAUUCUAAACCUUCUGGGCGAACUCAAUGACCAAGUCCAGCAAUUGUCAACGGGAGGGUAGUUUGAUAGCCAAUUCCAUUAAGUGUCAGCAGAAUAUCUUAAUACCCAGUUAUCUUAAUUAACUUUGAAAUGGCCGUUGAUGGAGCUAUUCAGCCGCCCAGAUGACCAUUUCCUUAAUUCCUUUUGAUUACGUGUAUAUUAUCAUACAAUUUUAAAACGGGGGAUUGCCACUUUCUCCCUUACAGUAAUCAACAUAUACCAUUUAUCUCCCUACUGUUUUUAUAAUGGCCAAAAACCCUCAUGACAGCAUAAGUUUACAAUAUUACCCUCAUUUUCAACUACUCUUUUAUUUACAUUUAUUAUAAAUUAAAUAAAUCAUAUGAAUAGAAACUAAAUAAAAAAAUUAAGUAUUAAAAAUAAGAAAUAUAUGUUUUGAUGUGAGUAAAAAAAUUAAUAAUAAAUUCUUUUUCUUAUAAUUAUUUAUUUUGUGAACAUUUUCUUAUAAUAAAUAUUUUGUAAUAUUUUAAAAUUAAAUGUAAAAAUUAUAGGCAAAAUAUUUUAUUAUUUAUCUUAUAAUAAAUUUUUAUUUUUCAUUCAAGUUUUCUUAUAAUAAUUUUUUUAUCAUUUUAUAAUAAUUUUCUUAUAUUUUUAUUAUAAGAAAAUUUUCACAAAAUAAAUAAGUACAAGAAAAAAAAUUUAUUAUUAAUUUUUUUGCUCAUAUCAAAAUAUAUAUUUCUUAUUUUUAAUGCUUAAUUUUUUAUUUAGUUUCUAUUCAUGUGAUUUAUUUAAUUUAUAAUAAAUAUAAAUAAAAGAUUAGUUGAAAAUAAGGGUAAUAUUGUAAACUUAUGCUAUCAAGGGAGUUUUUGGCCAUUAUAAAAACAACAAGAGGAGAAAUGGUAUAUGUUAAUUACUGUAGGGGGGAAAAUGACAAUCUCCCAUUUUAAAACACAUUCCAGAGUCACUAACAAUGUUAAUUUAAUGCUUGCAUACGUACUUAACAUAGUCAUUAACGGCAUAACCGGAUGCACCAAAUUAUUAAUCAUUUAAUAAUUAAGAAAAGUAACAAACAAACGAUCUUACCGCGAAACAAGUGGUAUUAUUGAGACUUGCAAGCAAUAUUUUGCGAUACAAAAAUAAUUUGCGAUCAGUUACUCCAAUUUUCCACCAUUAUCAUAACAUCAAUUUCUUUUAACAGAAUAUACUAAUAUCUUGAAGCUAUUCCAAAAUGCAUACAUACUCGGUAGCACAAGCCUUGCUUGUCGAACAUUCAACAGUGGGUGAUGUAAUCCUUUUAACAGCUUCUUGGCCAAGCGUUUGAACUUUGAAAUGUCUUAAUGAUUCUGUUUGCAGACAGUUACAUAUGUUUGGUUUUUAAAUUCAGUGUCAAGGUUGCAUCCUGUGUAGUUAAUUUGUUGAGUUAAUUAAUUUAGAUGAGAAGAAGAUGGAAUCCUUCAAGUAGAAAAACAAGAUGGAGUAAUCAUCAAAACUCAUCUACAAAACUAAUUACGACAGACACUAAGGGCCAUUUUGAAAUUUCUAGUGCUUGUAAUUUUUUUUUUUUUUGAGUGAUGAUAAAGACACAAACUCUUGUACAAACUUAUUUUAUAUAAACUGAUGUGACAUUAAUUCAUUGAUUGAAUGAAAAUACAAAAUAAUGAAAAUAAAUCAUGUGGGCCAAAAGAUAUUUAAUUCGACCAAUUUUAUCAUGUCAUAUCAGUUUGUACAAGAUAAGUUUGUAUAAGAAUUUGUGACUAUAUCGUUACUUUUUUUUUUUUUUUUGAAAGGCAGUGCUUGUAAUAUAAUUUGCUUCUAUUGAGUUGAUAAGUAGUUAGGUUUGCGGUGGAUGCUCCCUGGCCUCAUCCAUGGGUUUUAAAGUAGUUUUAUUUAGUUCGCCAUUUAAGUUCAAAUUUUUGGAGAGGUAAGGGUCUAAAAAAUGAAUUUAAGUUUUACGAAUUCCCUUACCAUUUUUUUGAUAAAAAUAAUUAGAUAUUGAGCAGAACUAUUGGUUUUGGAUUGAUACCCCUCCAAAACCCUUUGAUAACCUCUUCUAGUUAUUUACAUAUUUAACCUCCAUAGAAAUUACAUUAAAAGACAAAAUAUAUAUUUAAUUAAACUUAUUUUUUUUCUUUUAAAAAGGUAAGGGGUGAGCCAAACCCAAAUAAUUUUUAUUUUUCCCUUACCUCCCCCAAGGCUCGAACUCGGGUAAUCAGUUGCUACAAACAUCAUGCUGGUUGACCACGCCGAAGAAAAAAAAAAAGGACUAUUUUUUAUUUUUAGAAAAUUAUUUGCCCCCACGUGUCGCAUCUGUUAUAUGUUAUUUAACAACUUCUAUAUUUUUUUCUCUCUUGAAUUAAACACACACACAUAUAUAAACUUUUAAACCACCUAAAAAAAUUCGAAAACCUCAUUAUUCAUUUUCCAUAUCAAAUAUGGAAGAGAGGCUAUGGCCUAUAUGAGCAAUCAUCAAUGUAAUUAUGCUAAGAAUGACCAAUGGCAAAUUAAACAAACAAGUUUUUCAACGAUUUGCUUAUGUGCUGAAAAUAAUUGGAAACUAAAAAUCAUAAAUAGAAAAUUUAAAAGGCUUUUCAGCUAAAACAUGUUAGCAAGAGGGAAAAAAAAUUAAAAGGCUUUUUAGCUAAAACAUGUUAGCUAAAUCAUGGGUUAGUCUUAAAAGCAGCUCAACCCAAACCACAUAUCCAUGCUCAUGAUUAUUAAUUAAACACACAUUAACACUACAUGGAACUCGAACCCAAAAUUAAAAUCUUGAGAAAACUAACAUAUGAAUGUAAUUCUUAAUCUCGUGUUCAAUCUUAUUACUAUGAAACAUGAUUUAUAUUUGUAUUUGACCAUCAAUUGAUAGAUUAUAGUUAUAAAAUAUUUAAUGUUAUUAAUUUAGUAUAAUAAUUAUGCAUGUCAAGUGUAGUUGUAGUUAAUUAUCCCUUCCCUCGAUAAUUUGAUUUAAAAUUAAGGUCAUUUUCUUCAAUUACAAAAGUUUGAUUGAUCUUACAAACUAGUGAACUACAAAAGGGUGAUUUGUAAAGAAUUUCAGUAUAUCAUAGGGGUGUCGGUAGCAUCACUCUUAUUUGAAAUUCUCAUCAUAGUACUUAUAUUUUUUAAAUUGUCCAAAUCAACAGUAAUUUUUCAGAUGAAAAAUGCAUCUAUAAUUUUUUAUACAAAUUGACGUGACAUAAUAUAAAUGGUAGAAUAAAAAUACUACAUGGCUUAAUAAUAUAAUACCAUAAUAAUUUGUAUUAAAAUAAUUCAUACAAGAGUUUGUAGUAUUAUUAUUCAAUUUUUCAAAGACAUGAAAGCAUGUCUUUAAUUGAUGUGCCUAACUUAAUGUCUAUCGUUAAUGCCUAACUUAUCAAUAAUCAUGUCACUAUAUGAAUAAUAAAGAACAAAAAUUACCGUUUUCGAUAUUCUUUUAAUGAGAUUUGAACUCGAGUUUAUUUUGUAGUUAUUACUUCACGAAAAUUGUCAGGAGUAAAUCAUAUCAAUUUGGGCAUCACCAUCAUAGAAUAAUAACUUAUUAUGUCACAAAAAUUAUUUUCUGAGUGUACUGAUUUCGUUACUUGAAUUUACAUGCAACUGCUUUUAAUUUAUCUUGAUUAAUGUUUCUUUAAAUAUAUAUAUAUAUAUUAGCUGCAAAUUAACCUGAGAUUAUGUCAUUUAAGGUGUCUGUUGAGUGACCCAAAAAAAAAAAAAAAAAAAAAUUCAGAUGACAGAUUCGUAGACUAUCUCUUAUGGUAAUGAUAGGGGUUUAGCAGCAUCUUUUUAUUUAUUUAUCAUUAUCAUUAUUUUGAAAUAGAAUUUGCCUCAUAUUAUUGUCAAUUUUUCAGUUAAUUUUAUUCUUAGAGAUAGUACAAUUGGUUAGACCUCUUGAUUUAUCCAUCUGAAAAUAAAUUAAGGGAAAUUAUCAUUCGUAUACCCUAUAUUUGAUUUGUUAUAAAAAAUACUACAACACUUUGAGGGUGUAUCAAUCGUCCACCCUAAGUUGACGAAAUGUAUCAACCGACCACCAAACUGUUAAUUGCCAUUUGAAAGUUAAUGGAAUUACAGUGAAUUGGCGAUUUUACCCUUGAAAAUUAUCACUUGUAUACCCUUAAGUUCUCUUUUUAUCACUUGUAUACCCUUAAAUUAUCACUUGUAUCAUAUGAAAAGACUAAAUUACCCUUCUGACGUUAUCAUAUUUAAACGGCAACUAACGAUUUGGUGGUCGGCUGAUACAUUUUGUCAACUUAGGGUGGACGAUUGAUACACCCUCAAAGUGUUGUAAUAUUUUUGAUAAUGAAAUAAACUAAGGGUAUAUAAAUGAUAAUUUUUCAUAAAUUAAUUACUUCAUAUUUGUGUGUAGCAGAAUAAGGUGAGGUGAGACGAGGCGCCUACUUAUGGGUCCCCUUUUGUCAGAUAAUCUAUUUGAAGGUUAUUUCGAAUUGUUCACCAAAAACACCCUCUAUUAAGCUUUUGUAAGAUCCAUUAAUGAUUUACCCCAGCUUGAUAGUAAAAAAAUGCUAGAAUUGAAAGACAUGUCGAGGUAGGUGGACGAUUUUCUCAUUGUUCUGGCUUUCUGCCCUCUAAGACUAAGGGAUAGCGUAGGUGAUAACUAAUCUUUAAUUUAAUGCAGGAAGAUUUUAAUUGUGGCCGCCUAGAAGACUAACUGAUUUGAUAAGAUAAUAAACAACAACUUAAUAUAUUAAAGGGAUCUGAUUUCCUACCUAAUCUUUAAUUUAGUCCUGGAAGUAACGUUGCAAUUUGCAACUUGGGCACAAUCUUCAAUGAGAUGAUUCAUUGAGGAAUACAAAUACCCAAAAAAAUUACAAAUAGGAUAAAAUAAAGGACGAAAUGAAGAAUAGUUUAAGCAAUUAAUCCAUCAAAUAUCGUUUCUGGAGUUUCGACUGCAAAUGAAAUUUCAAAUAUGCAAAUGGAUCAGAUAAUAGAUAAAAUCUUCCUUAAGAAGUUGACAGAUUAGCUACUUUUAACAAAAAAUUGGUUCACAUAAUUUUGACAAGUAUAUUAAAAAGAACAAAUUGCCUUUUUGUUUAUUUCCCAUUGUCAUAAAGGGUAAUAAAGUGAAUUCAAUGUUCUUUUUCUUUUUCACGCGAAUAUGAAAAACCAAAAAUACAUCUUAAGUUAACUAAUCAAUUUGCAGUUGAGUCCCAAUUUGUAAUCAAAUGGGGGAUAUAUAUAUAUAUUUUAACACAAGGAUCAUGAUUAUUUGAUUUUUUUUUUUAAUAAAGGGAUAAUGGAGAAAGUAAAUUUUAUACAUAUAUUAUCACUGAAAAAUACAUGAUAUAAAAUCUUAAUUUAUACAUUUAUUAUCACCGAAAGACGCAUGAUAUGAAAUCUUUAAAAACUCAUGGGAGUUCAGAUAAUGAAGAAAUCAUCCUAAUUCUUUACAUAUUUUGUCAAAAUAGCAUUACUCAUUCGAUUAAAGAAAAAAGCUUUUAUUUGCAAUUACAAAGCCAAGGCCAUGCACGACAGCUAUUUUUCACUUACUGUAUUUACUAAUUUUAUUUAUACCUUUUUGGGUUUAUUCAUCAAUAUCACUUACUGUAAGCCAUCAAAUUUAGGUGUUAACCAAUUACCUCCUAUGCAUUGAUUUACCAUCCAGGUCACAGCAAAUGAUACAUCAUUACAAUAUUUUUGUUGUAUCGGAAUGCCGGUAAGGAGAAAUUAACUGUAGGAGAAAAUGAUUUAACAAAAAGAGACACAAACAAGUUGAACUUGAUUCAAAAAUUUGCCUCCGUCCACGAGAGUGGCGCAACAGCUUUCCCGGUCUACUUAGAGAAUCUACACGAGCAUUCAGAACUCUCUCACUCUAAUUAACCAAAGGCCCAAAACACACAACACAUUGGUCAGAUCAGCUCACAGCUAAUUAAGAAGCCAAACGCUUCCUGUUUAGAAGCUCCCUUUUGUUUUGCUCCUUGGGAUGGUACAUACCUUGCAACAGCAAUACAACAAUGGGAUAGCUUAAGGACACAUGUACUGUAUGGUUUAGGCGCUCCACUGAUCUUUUAGUGCUCUUUAAUUAAUGAUGCUCUCCACUACUUCAAGUUAAUUGAGUGCUCCCAAGGAUGCUCCAUAAUUAAGCCAUCUUUAAUUUGGUGACUGGAUCACCGCGUGCACGUAUAUUUAUUGCCCCAGACUAUUUAAUUUAAUUUACCAAUAUACUCGUAACAGGUAUUGGGCUUUUUCCGUUUGUGUUCGCUCAUUUGCUAACUAGUUCUAAAACCAUACAUGGUUGAUUCAAUCAGCUUGCUGUGAAGGAGAAAAAAAAAAUUCCAGAAAAUAAAAUAUUAUAACACUUUUGUACGAUAGUUAUAUAUUGCCUCAGCUGUAAUUUUUAUUUAACAAUUGCUAGAUAAAAUAAAUCUAACAAUUUUGAGACAAUAAAAGAUAUCGAUCAAGCAUGGAGAAUGCUAAUAGCUAGACCGGGUGUUGAAUUGAUGGCCAGACUUAUUUGACGUUCGAGCCGAUCUGAUGGCAUUGAUCACAUCAUCACUUACUAGGAAAGAUUUGGUCAACACACUAUUGGGAACUGAGGGAUUAGUAUCAAACAGAGUACCGACUGAAUCCGAAACGCCGGGAUUUUGACUGUUGAAAAUGGGCACGAAAGUAGCCUUUCCUUUUCCAACGUUUAAUUGGAAAUGGACAUGUGCUCUAGGAAUUAAGAACACCAUCCCGGGAGUCAAAACCUUUGAGAAAAAGGUAUUAUUAGUUGUUACAAAUCCCACAAGCACCCUCCCUUUAAGAACAAUACCAGCCUCAGUUGCGCGAGGAUGCGUGUGAGGCGGAUUUAUUCCGCCGACACCCAGGUCAAUUCGGAAGAGUGAAACUCCUUGAGUGUUGACCGCUGGAAAGCCAAACACAUCACCAAAUGUAACUGCACGCUUAAAGACAUCGAAUGUCGUCGGAUCCUUGGAAAAAUCCGUGAAGAAAUCAUCAGAAGUCACUUCCGAAGCAGGCUUGCACGGGAAACCAUUGAUCGAGAUGGGGGCAUCCAAAUCCGCAACACAGAUGUCUUGUAAGGGAUCAGGGUCACUUGCGUGGGAAGGGAAGGGUAGAAUCACUAACACUAGUAGCAGCCCGAAGAGUGACAUUGAUGAAGAAGCCAUAGCCGUAUGGCUGUGAUGUUUAAAAUCUAGUAUUUA